GCCUACGGGCGGCAGCAGUGGGGGAUAUUGCACAAUGGGGGGAACCCUGAUGCAGCGACGCCGCGUGGGCGACGGAGUACUUCGGUAUGUAAAGCCCUAUCAGCAGGGAAGAAAAUGACGGUACCUGACUAAGAAGCCCCGGCUAAAUACGUGCCAGCAGCCGCGGUAAUACGUAUGGGGCAAGCGUUAUCCGGAUUUACUGGGUGUAAAGGGAGCGUAGGCGGCCUGGCAAGCCUGAUGUGAAAUACCGGGGCCCAAGCCCGGGGCUGCAUUGGGAACUGCCAGGCUGGAGUGCCGGAGAGGCAGGCGGAAUUCCUAGUGUAGCGGUGAAAUGCGUAGAUAUUAGGAGGAACACCAGUGGCGAAGGCGGCCUGCUGGACGGUGACUGACGCUGAGGCUCGAAAGCGUGGGGAGCAAACAGGAUUAGAUACCCGUGUAGUC
rnacentral:rRNA from 2 species